rnacentral:rRNA from 1 species
CCUACGGGGGGCUGCAGUCGAGAAUCUUUGUCAAUGGACGAAAGUCUGAACAAGCGACGCCGCGUGCGGGAUGAAGGCCUUCGGGUUGUAAACCGCUGUCGUAGGGGAGCAAAUGGUUUAGGGUUAUCCCUUUUCCUUGAGCGAUCCUAGGAGGAAGGACGGGCUAAGUUCGUGCCAGCAGCCGCGGUAAGACGAACCGUCCGAACGUUAUUCGGUAUCACUGGGCUUAAAGAGUUCGUAGGCGGCCUAGCAGGUCAGGUGUGAAAUCCCACAGC